UACGUAGGGCUCGAGCGUUGUCCGGAAUUAUUGGCGUAAAGAGCUCGUAGGCGGUUUGCCGCGUCUGCCGUGAAAGUCCGGGGCUCAACUCCGGAUCUGCGGUGGGUACGGGCAGACUAGAGUGAUGUAGGGGAGACUGGAAUUCCUGGUGUAGCGGUGAAAUGCGCAGAUAUCAGGAGGAACACCGAUGGCGAAGGCAGGUCUCUGGGCAUUAACUGACGCUGAGGAGCGAAAGCAUGGGGAGCGAACAGG
rnacentral:rRNA from 1 species